UUCCGGUUGAUCCUGCCGGAGGCCAUUGCUAUUGGAAUCCGAUUUAGCCAUGCUAGUCGCACGGGUUUAGACCCGUGGCAAAUAGCUCAGUAACACGUGGCCAAACUACCCUAUGGAUAAGGAUACUCUCGGGAAACUGAGGCUAAUCCUUGAUACAGCUUCCAUGUUGGAAUUGCAGGAAGCUAGAAACGCUCCGGCGCCAUAGGAUGUGGCUGCGGCCGAUUAGGUAGACGGUGGGGUAACGGCCCACCGUGCCAGUAAUCGGUACGGGUGAUGAGAGUCAGAGCCCGGAGACGGUAUCUGAGACAAGAUACCGGGCCCUACGGGGCGCAGCAGGCGCGAAACCUUUACACUGCACGACAGUGCGAUAGGGGGACUCCGAGUGCGAGGGCAUAUAGUCCUCGCUUUUCUAGACCGUAAGGAGGUCCAGGAACAAGGGCUGGGCAAGACCGGUGCCAGCCGCCGCGGUAACACCGGCAGCCCGAGUGAUGGCCGAUCUUAUUGGGCCUAAAGCGUCCGUAGCUGGCCGCACAAGUCCAUCGGAAAAUCCACCCGCUCAACGGGUGGGCGUCCGGUGGAAACUGUGUGGCUUGGGGACCGGAAGGCGCGACGGGUACGUCCGGGGUAGGAGUGAAAUCCUGUAAUCCUGGACGGACCGCCGAUGGCGAAAGCACGUCGCGAAGACGGAUCCGACAGUGAGGGACGAAAGCUAGGGUCUCGAACCGGAUUAGAUACCCGGGUAGUCCUAGCCGUAAACAAUGCCUGUUAGGUGUGGCUCCCACUACGAGUGGGUGCUGUGCCGUAGGGAAGCCGCUAAACAGGCCGCCUGGGAAGUACGUCCGCAAGGAUGAAACUUAAAGGAAUUGGCGGGGGAGCAC
rnacentral:rRNA from 1 species